GCCGUUGCUAUGGUAAUCAAGUUUAGUACGAGAGGAACCGCAGGUUCAGAUAAUUAUUAUAUGUGCCUGGUCGAAAAACCAAUGGUGCGAAGUUAUCAUCUGAUGUCUGAAUCCCAUCCAACUUUGCAACGGUACAUUUUGUAUCCGACACGAAGCUGAGCAAGCUUACGUAUUGAUUUGGAAUCUGGACUGCGCUAUGUUUUCGGCUAGACCAAUUAGGUCAGAUGUUAUGCGAGAGCGAUUACCAUAAACCGUGCUCCGGAUAUUGAGAUACGGUAGUCGACACGAUAUCCAAUUGUGCUAUGAGCGUAAGGAUAGUAAAUCGUUUGUAGACGACUUAAUGUUUUGUCGUGAACAUUUAAGUGCUCGAGCAACUAUCACACUGUGAGGCAAUGAAUCCUAUAAUUGCUUGGCGUAGCAAUUU
rnacentral:ncRNA from 1 species